rnacentral:tRNA from 1 species
GGUAAAAUGGCCGAAUUAGGUGUGGGGUUGUAGCCCCCUUUAUAAAGGUUAAAGUCCUUUUUUUACCA